rnacentral:rRNA from 1 species
UAGCUAGUUGGUGGGGUAAGGGCCUACCAAGGCGACGAUCGGUAGCUGGUCUGAGAGGAUGGCCAGCCACACUGGAACUGAGACACGGUCCAGACUCCUACGGGAGGCAGCAGUGGGGAAUAUUGGACAAUGGGGGGAACCCUGAUCCAGCAAUGCCGCGUGUGUGAAGAAGGCCUGAGGGUUGUAAAGCACUUUCAGUGGGGAGGAGUAUUGAUUGGUUAAGAGCUGAUUAAUGGGACGAUACCCACAGAAGAAGCACCGGCUAACUCCGUGCCAGCAGCCGCGGUAAUACGGAGGGUGCGAGCGUUAAUCGGAAUUACUGGGCGUAAAGGGUGCGUAGGUGGUUUGGUAAGUUAUCUGUAAAAUCCCUGGGCUUAACCUGGGCAGGUCAGAUAAAACUGCUGAACUCGAGUAUGGGAGAGGGUAGUGGAAUUUCCGGUGUAGCGGUGAAAUGCGUAGAUAUCGGAAGGAACACCGGUGGCGAAGGCGGCUACCUGGCCUAAUACUGACACUGAGGCACGAAAGCGUGGGGAGCAAACAGGAUUAGAUACCCUGGUAGUCCACGCUGUAAACGAUGUCAACUAGCUGUUGGUUAUAUGAAUAUAAUUAGUGGCGC